GACGAACGCUGGCGGCGCGCUUAACACAUGCAAGUCGAGCGAUAACCAUGGCUUCGGCCAUGGGGAGAGCGGCGAACGGGUGAGUAACACGUGAGUAAUCUGCCCUCGACACUGGGAUAGCCCGGGGAAACCCGGAUUAAUACCGGAUAGCCUCUCGAGCUUUCGGGCUCGUGAGAAAAGAUGGCUUCGGCUUUCGGUUGAGGAGGAGCUUGCGGCGGAUUAGCUUGUUGGUGAGGAACGGCCCACCAAGGCGACGAUCCGUAGCUGGUCUGAGAGGACGAUCAGCCACACUGGGACUGAGACACGGCCCAGACUCCUACGGGAGGCAGCAGUGGGGAAUCUUGCGCAAUGGGCGAAAGCCUGACGCAGCGACGCCGCGUGAGGGAAGAAGGCCUGGUGUAA
rnacentral:rRNA from 1 species